CGCAUGCCCGCGGGCCCCCGGCCCCGCCCCCCCGCCCUUGUGUGGGGCCCGAGACCCGCUGAGGUGCUCUGCUUGGGCACCGCUGGGCUGGCCAGGGGGGCCGGCGCGUCUCUGCAGGACGUGGUGUGAAGGAAAGCAGCGGCCACGUCCUCCACCUCUUGUACGGAGCCCGAUGCAGAAGCCCCCGUCCUGGCAGAGGAGUAGGCUGGGGAGGAGCCCUCAAGCAGGGCAGGCCCAAGCUAUUUUGCAUCUGAUUGCAGACUUCCAUCUGGAGACAACAUCCAAUAUCACGUGCAUGAGAAUCGCUUUAACUACAACUGGUCACAUUGCAAAUCCAAGGUAACCAAUGCCUCCGUUACUUCAAUACGCUGACAAUUUUCUAAUGUGUGCUUGCACAAUUGAAAAGCUCCAGGGCACUCUUGAUUGCUUCUGUGAAGCAUAUGAAACACUUGGACUUAGUCAACUUCACAUAAACCAAGAUACUUUGCCAACCCAUGCCAAACCAACCAACUGUUCCUUCAUACAUUACAAUUAGAGGGCAAUCCUUGGAGAAUGUUGAGCAUUUCCCCUACCUGGGUAGCUACUUUUCCCAAAAAGUAAACAGAGAUUACAAUAUUCAACACCAGGUUAAAUCUACCACUGCUGCUUUUGGACAUCUCUGAAAUUGUGUCUUCAAUGAUCAUAACAUCAGGACCCAAACCAAACUUCUCAUCUACCACACUGCUGUCAUCCCUACCCCAUUGUAUGGGUGUGAGACUUGGAUGAUGUAUUGAAAACACCGGAAAGCUUUGGGAUGUUGCCAUCAACAAUGUCUUCAGAAAAUCCUCCAUAUCAACUGGAAGGACAAAAGAAUGAACACCAGUAUUCUGGCUCAAGCAAACACUCCCCGCAUUGAAGCCAUGAAUAUACAGCACCAACUUUGCUAAAGAGGACAUGUCAGAACGAUGCCUAACAACUGGCUCCCAAAACAAGUCCUAUACUCCCAACUCACCAAUGAUCACCACUCCAAAGGUGGGUAAAAGGAAAGAUUCAAGGACACUUUGAAGGCCAAUCAGAAAAAAUGCAAUAUUAAUAUCAAUACCUGGGAGACUCAAGCACUGAAUCAUCUCCCAAUGACACCAUGGUAUAUGACUAGGCAUUGAUCAUUUUGAGCAAAGUCACCUCACUUUGGAGGUGGAUAGAUGAGAGAGACAAAGGGAAAGGGCUUGGAAGAACUCAACAUCACCAGGUUCUUCUAGAUCUAUUUGCUACGUCUUCAAUAAAAUAUGUGGAUCUCAGAUUUGCCGACUCAGUCAUCUUUGAAUCAAGGAACUGACAAUGAUGCCAACUUCAGAUAGGACAGAGGUAUAACUCGGGGAACCUUAAUUUUAAAAAGUUAGAUACCUCUGGACUUUAAAUGACUCAAGGGUUAGGCACCAGCUGAGCAGAGAUUUUGAGCACUGUAGCUUUGCACUCGAGUGUGUCCACAAAAGGAAUGUUUAUGUCAGUAAUGUGAAAGACAAUAUAGACGAGAAAUACAAAGUAUUUUUUGCUUGAUGAGGAAAUCCCAGCAACUGCAGACUAUGCUAGAGAUGUCCAUUCAGGAGAGAGAGAGAGCGUGUAUGUAUGUAUAUAAAUUAGGGCUGUCAAUCGCAGUUAACUUACAGGAUCAAGGCAAAAACAAAUUAACCCAUUUAUUUUUUUUAAUUGUGUAAAUUGCAAACAUUGUUUUGACCAGGGGAGCAGACCAGCUGGACCCCAUGUGCACAGCCCUGACCUAAUGCCUGCUCCAGACACCCGCCCAUGCUGAGCAGU